AAUGAACGCUAGCGGUAGGCCUAACACAUGCAAGUUGAACGCAUACUUUUACAGUAUAAGUAGCAAACGGGUGAGUAACGCGUGAGAAAUCUACCUUACAAUCCGGGAUAAAAUCCCGGAUUCUUUCUAAACUAGAUGUUCCGACAAAUAGUAUAGAAUAAAAGAUUAAAUGUCGUUGUAAGAUGUGCUCGCGUAGGAUUAGGUAGUUGGUGAGGUAAAAGCUACACCAAGCCGAAGAUCCUUAGCUGGUCUGAGAGGAUGAUCAGCCACACUGGGACUGAGACACGGCCCAGACGCUUUCGAGCGGCAGCAGUGAGGAAUUUUGGACAAUGGGCGAAAGCCUGAUCCAGCCAUAUCGCAUGAGUGAAGAAGGCUCAAUUGGUUGUAAAGCUCUGAUUUGAGUGAAGAUUAUGACAUAAGAUAAAAGAAUAGUCCCGGCUAACUUCGUG
rnacentral:rRNA from 1 species